UCCAGGCAGUAAGAGUGGAGGACCACCCAAACUUUGGGCUCUCCCAGGCCACUCUCCGAGCCAUUAGGGUGCUGAGGCAUCUCCUCAAGAAGUCUUCCCUCAGGGAACUGACUGCUGGUUUACCUGCCUGUGGAAUAGCAGGACACCUCUCCGCUCUGCACUCUGACAGCCUAACAUAAUAGGAAGCUGAUACAGGAGGGAACAUAUGAAUGUCUGGGCUUGGGCAGAGCACAGACCCUUGACGAUGGAAUCAAUGUCAAAUACCAUGAGGGCGCCACAUGACUGGAAGAAGCAGGGUCCUGGGGACUUUGGGAACUGAAGAAACUUGGGAAGGGAAAUGACAACCCACCCAGCGGUUAUCCUUACAAAAGAAACGCAAUUUGCCUGCCGAGAAGCUGAGGAACUUUGACUUGACCUCUCUGUUCAAAACCUCUGAGCCAUCCUUGACAACUCUUUCUUCCUGGCGGAACAAGUACUCACCAAGAGCGUAUUAUGCAGUAAGCAACACGCCAGCUACAGAAUCACAUGAGCUCACACCAGGUGAGUGGGAGCAAAGAACAGCUCACACGUAUUGCCCUCUGAUGCUCCAGACCACCAGGUGAAGUCAGCAUUGCCUUCUUCCAUAGGGCAUAGUCACAGCUAUAUGCCUGGAGUCACUGAGUGGUUACCCUUCCUACCCACAGUUCCUGUGUUCUCCUCACCUCCAAUCAGGUCAACCAUGGAAGUGUUAGAUAGAAGUUAGACUUGAGCCAUGGAAGGAACAUCCCAAGGCAGAGUCCUAAGCCCCUGAAGGGGAAUGCUAGAGAUAGGAGCGGGAGGCAAGGAUGAUGAGAAAUAAAAGCCUGGGAGCUCAACAACCUGGCUUCCAAGACCUUGAGGCUGACAGAUCAAGAGCCAUAGAUGCAGAGCACAUGCUCCUCUCUUCCACCUCUGCCCUGGGGUAAUCUCUAGACUCAUUAUAGUGCAUUUUUAGGCACAGCCCCCCUUGGCACAUACACCACCUCCUUCCACCACAGAGUAAGGCUACUAUGAUGGUUCUGGUUCAAACCUAGUGGAAGGAGUCCCCCAAAUGAUUGGAAGCAGCCUUUGUUAGAGAUGACCACUGUAUGUCACAGCUCCUCUCAGCCCAAAGAGACCCAAUAAUAUCCAAUCUCAAAAUAACCUAGUGGCCAGCCACCUCUUGGAACCUGCAUGUUC